rnacentral:rRNA from 1 species
CCCCCACUUCCCCCCCAGGAUCUGGAUCAGGAAUCCCCCUAGCGCUCGCCCCACAUGACCCCCGGCGCACCCCGACCCCGUCGCCCGCUUCUGACCACGUCGGACCUCCUCCCCGCCGCUGCUGCGGCUCACGGCCUUGACGCACCGGUCCUCGUCGCGUUCGCCUCCCCGCCUCGACCCCAACACCCUCGGCGCCCCGAGGCCAACGUCGCCACCUAUCGUCGCUCGUCGUAGCCCCGCCUCCUCAUCUCUCCCUCAUCGGCUCCGUCAAGCCUCGCCGGCCCCCUGUUCAUCUACAACGGGGACCCUGAGACCGCUGCUGAUGCCACUGUGAUCGACUACGUCGACGACGACCCUGCUUCUUGUCUGAGCAACCAGAUGGUGGAUCCUUGGAGCCAGAUGCCACCCCUGUCGACUACUACUACAUGGAGGUCGCCGAUGACUAGGAGUAGUUAGGAGGUCCCAGGCAGGAGGCCUUGCCUAUUCGAUCAUGUUGCUUUUGUGCUAGCCUUCUUAAGGCAUCCUUGUUUAAUUUAUGUCAGUACUCAGAUAUUGUUGCUUCCGCUGACUCUUGUGUAUCGAGCUAUGUAUUCGAGCCCUCGAGGCCCCUGGCUUGUAAUAUGAAGC